AUGUCAUGAUAAGGGCACUUUCGUAAUAACUCCUUGAACCGCUCCGAUGCCUCAUAUAAAGAUUCUUCAUCAAGUUGCUGAAAUGACGUGAUUUCAUUUCAAAUCUU
rnacentral:snoRNA from 1 species